UUAUAUAGAUAGAUUAGUGUUAUGUAUGACCUAGGAGAGAGGCCCAUCACUAUAAACACGAAUUUGAUCCAACAACUCACAAUACAAACAGGCCCAAUUGAUGCCCUAGAUAUAUAAUAAGAUAACAAAAUUUGAAACUGCGAGACCAAUCUCAAAAACCCUAGAAAAGAAGAUGUUGCGGUUCCUGGGAAACACCACCUUGGCUAAGAAGGUAAUGGAGAGAUGUUUGUAGCAAGGGGAUGCUGCCGUUGCAGUAUCGUGAUUUUUCAUCCGUGAGUGAGAAAGCUGUCUCGAAAAUUUAUGGAUACUUCUUUAAAACGGUCUUUGGUGGUGCUGGAAUCCUGCUCGCUCGUGUGACAACAAGCCCCUUCUCAAGCGGUCUUCAGGAGAUUGAAGACGAUGUUUUUUUUUUUUUUUUUUUUGAAGACAACUUAAUUUCAUUAAAACCUUAACCUGCUUGAUUACAACGAUUAGAGGGAAUUAUACAUCCUCUUUAAUUGAAAGCAUAAACUACAACAAUGUAAAAUAAAUGAGAUAAUUCUUCAACCGAAGAUGACAGCUGAUUCGAAUCAGAAGGCUACCUCGACGAUUGAAUACGAUGUUAAAGAGGUAAAUAACCAAGGGACUGGGUUUAAAGGUCUUUUUCUUUUUCUUUCUUAUCUUUCCUAUAUAAUUCUUCGUCUCUCCAUGUUUCAUUUUUUGUCGAGUUGAUUUCGUCUGUGAAAGAAGAGUUACAAGUGAUGGUAUUUGGCUGUUGGUGUGUGUGUUUUUUUUUUCAUUGUUUCUGUUAUGUCUAUGAACAUGGUUCUGUCUUUAAUCUUUUAAAUAAAUCUCUUUUUUUUUUGUUUUUAGAUAAAGACCCCAACUCACACCUACCACUAUAUAUAAUGUUCUUGUAUGAUGGAUUGCUGAUGUGAGCCUGAUGUCCUGUUCUCGAAUUUAUUCACAACAGUUAAACUUUUUGGAUGAUGUUUGCAUUGCAUUGCAUGGAUCAGUUUCUAUGCAUCUGACAGACUAUAUAAAACCUCGUUCAGAUGUAUGCUUUUGUUGCAGUUGUAGAAUUUAACAGGCUGUGUGUCGUCAGAGGAUUAACAACAAAAAAGUCUAGAUGAAUACCAGAAUAUCUUUGAGAUUCUUAUUUACAGUGUCCUUUGCAUUUUCUUUAGGAGGAGAGUUUGCACACCAUUUUACUCUAAUUACAAACGUGUAAAAGGUUGGACUGUGUCUAACAGUUCAAAAUGAACAAAAGGUUAUCAGAAGAGGAAGAUAAUUUAAAAGCUGGGGAUUAGGAUCUCCUCUUCUUUGUUUUCGUUAUUACACAAAUAAGUAGUAGACAAAACACCAAAUAUGUUUGCUUAUCUAAGAAGAGUUUCUCCUCCUUCUCCUCCUCUUCCCACGAACAGCACAGAGGUAGUAGUAGUAGCCUAGACA